CCUACGGGAGGCAGCAGUGAGGAAUAUUGGUCAAUGGACGAGAGUCUGAACCAGCCAAGUAGCGUGAAGGAUGACUGCCCUAUGGGUUGUAAACUUCUUUUAUAUGGGAAUAAAAUGUUCCACGUGUGGGAUUUUGUAUGUACCAUAUGAAUAAGGAUCGGCAAACUCCGUGCCAGCAGCCACGGUAAUACGGAGGAUCCGAGCGUUAUCCGGAUUUAUUGGGUUUAAAGGGAGCGUAGGUGGAUUGUUAAGUCAGUUGUGAAAGUUUGCGGCUCAACCGUAAAAUUGCAGUUGAAACGUGCAGUCUUGAGUACAGUAGAGGUGGGCGGAAUUCGUGGUGUAGCGGUGAAAUGCUUAGAUAUCACGAAGAACUCCGAUUGCGAAGGCAGUUCACUGGACUGCAACUGACACUGAGGCUCGAAAGUGUGGGUAUCAAACAGGAUUAGAUACCCCGGUAGUC
rnacentral:rRNA from 1 species